GUUUAAGCCGCCGCGGUAAUACGGAGGGUGCAAGCGUUGUUCGGAAUCAUUGGGCGUAAAGAGCGUGUAGGCGGUUGGGUAAGUCAGAUGUGAAAUCCCUUGGCUUAACCAAGGAAGUGCAUUUGAAACUGCCCGGCUUGAGUACGGGAGGGGGAAGUGGAAUUCCCGGUGUAGAGGUGAAAUUCGUAGAUAUCGGGAGGAACACCGGUGGCGAAGGCGGCUUCCUGGACCGAUACUGACGCUGAGACGCGAAAGCGUGGGGAGCAAACAGGAUUAGAUACCCGUGUAGUCC
rnacentral:rRNA from 1 species